ensembl:piRNA 21ur-551 ncRNA
UUGGACAGAUAUUGGAACAAA